GACAAUGUAGCCAAGUGGUUACGGCGAUUGAUUUGAAAUCAAUUCCUCUUUGAGGGCGUAGGUUCAAAUCCUGCCAUCGUCG
rfam:Sphaerobolus stellatus SS14 unplaced genomic scaffold SPHSTscaffold_33, whole genome shotgun sequence.